rnacentral:rRNA from 1 species
CCUACGGGAGGCAGCAGUGAGGAAUAUUGGUCAAUGGACGAGAGUCUGAACCAGCCAAGUAGCGUGAAGGAUGACUGCCCUAUGGGUUGUAAACUUCUUUUAUAUGGGAAUAAAAUGUUCCACGUGUGCGUUUUUGUAUGUACUUUAUGAAUAAGGAUCGGCUAACUCCGUGCCAGCAGCCGCGGUAAUACGGAGGAUCCGAGCGUUAUCCGGAUUUAUUGGGUUUAAAGGGAGCGUAGGUGGAUUGUUAAGUCAGUUGUGAAAGUUUGCGGCUCAACCGUAAAAUUGCAGUUGAUACUGGCAGUCUUGAGUACAGUAGAGGUGGGCGGAAUUCGUGGUGUAGCGGUGAAAUGCUUAGAUAUCACGAAGAACUCCGAUUGCGAAGGCAGCUCACUAAACUGCAACUGACACUGAGGCUCGAAAGUGUGGGUAUCAAACAGGAUUAGAUACCCCUGUAGUC